rnacentral:rRNA from 2 species
UACGAAGGGGGCUAGCGUUGUUCGGAAUCACUGGGCGUAAAGCGCACGUAGGCGGACACUUAAGUCAGAGGUGAAAUCCCAAGGCUCAACCUUGGAACUGCCUUUGAUACUGGGUGUCUUGAGGUCGAGAGAGGUGAGUGGAACUGCGAGUGUAGAGGUGAAAUUCGUAGAUAUUCGCAAGAACACCAGUGGCGAAGGCGGCUCACUGGCUCGAUUCUGACGCUGAGGUGCGAAAGCGUGGGGAGCAAACAGG